ACCACCAACCGUUGACUGU
rnacentral:miRNA from 1 species